rnacentral:lncRNA from 1 species
AAGUGUGUAACCAAAGAAGGAUGUCCCAGGGGUACCCUAUUGUUGGUAGUGAUGGCACAAAACUUUUAAUCUCAUUUGCUAUUAUCUGGCUAAUGUUCACUUUCAAUCCUCUAAUCACGUAGUAUAAAAACAUGACCCUAGUAACAGUGAUGUCUGAGACAUGAGAGCAUGGUUGGACAUUGGCAUGUGAAAAUGCCAUCCAAUACUGUGCUAAAGGUGUCAAGUUAUCCCUCUUGAUGUUCACAGCCUCACCACUACUGUUCCUGUAAAAAUGUCCUCCAAGCACACAUAACACACUUUCGAUAUCAUCAAAAUCAGUGCCCUCCUCCAGAUUUAGUGCAAACUAGCACUGCUCCCCUGUCCAUUCAGUGUUAAGAAACCUAUUAAUUGACUGAAGAUCAUAUCGGAUAAGUUUCCCACGUACAUAACUUGUAUAAAUCUCUAAUGGAGGAUUACCCAGAGGCUUAGCAUUUCUAUAGAACUCUUUUACCACUGCAAUAUUUGCUGAUGCAUGGUAUGUAGCUAGCUUUUCCCAAUUCCUUCUUUCCAUCUCCU